rnacentral:rRNA from 1 species
GAUGAACGCUGGCGGCGUGCCUAAUACAUGCAAGUCGAGCGGUAACACUUCGGGUGACGAGCGGCGGACGGCUGAGUAACACGUAGGAACGUACCCCAAACUGAGGGAUAAGCACCGGAAACGGUGUCUAAUACCGCAUGUGGUCUUCGGAUUAAAGCUUCGGCGGUUUGGGAACGGCCUGCGCAUGAUUAGCUUGUUGGUGAGGUAAUAGCUCACCAAGGCGACGAUCAUUAGCUGGUCUAAGAGGAUGAUCAGCCAGACUGGGACUGAGAACGGCCCAGACUCCUACGGGAGGCAGCAGUAGGGAAUCUUCCACAAUGGGCGAAAGCCUGAUGGAGCAACGCCGCGUGCAGGAUGAAGGCCUUCGGGUCGUAAACUGCUUUUAUUGGUGACGAUUAUGACGGUAGCCAAUGAAUAAGGAUCGGCUAACUCCGUGCCAGCCGCCGCCGUAA